rnacentral:rRNA from 1 species
GACGAACGCUGGCGGCGUGCUUAACACAUGCAAGUCGAACGGAAAGGCCCUGCUUUUGUGGGGUGCUCGAGUGGCGAACGGGUGAGUAACACGUGAGUAACCUGCCCUUGACUUUGGGAUAACUUCAGGAAACUGGGGCUAAUACCGGAUAGGAGCUCCUGCUGCAUGGUGGGGGUCGGAAAGUUUCGGCGGUUGGGGAUGGACUCGCGGCUUAUCAGCUUGUUGGUGGGGUAGUGGCUUACCAAGGCUUUGACGGGUAGCCGGCCUGAGAGGGUGACCGGCCACAUUGGGACUGAGAUACGGCCCAGACUCCUACGGGAGGCAGCAGUGGGGAAUAUUGCACAAUGGGCGGAAGCCUGAUGCAGCAACGCCGCGUGCGGGAUGACGGCCUUCGGGUUGUAAACCGCUUUCGCCUGUGACGAAGCGUGAGUGACGGUAAUGGGUAAAGAAGCACCGGCUAACUACGUGCCAGCAGCCGCGGUGAUACGUAGGGUGCGAGCGUUGUCCGGAUUUAUUGGGCGUAAAGGGCUCGUAGGUGGUUGAUCGCGUCGGAAGUGUAAUCUUGGGGCUUAACCCUGAGCGUGCUUUCGAUACGGGUUGACUUGAGGAAGGUAGGGGAGAAUGGAAUUCCUGGUGGAGCGGUGGAAUGCGCAGAUAUCAGGAGGAACACCAGUGGCGAAGGCGGUUCUCUGGGCCUUUCCUGACGCUGAGGAGCGAAAGCGUGGGGAGCGAACAGGCUUAGAUACCCUGGUAGUCCACGCUGUAAACGGUGGGUACUAGGUGUGGGGUCCAUUCCACGGGUUCCGUGCCGUAGCUAACGCUUUAAGUACCCCGCCUGGGGAGUACGGCCGCAAGGCUAAAACUCAAAGGAAUUGACGGGGCCCCGCACAAGCGGCGGAGCAUGCGGAUUAAUUCGAUGCAACGCGUAGAACCUUACCUGGGUUUGACAUGGAUCGGGAGUGCUCAGAGAUGGGUGUGCCUCUUUUGGGGUCGGUUCACAGGUGGUGUAUGCCUGUCGUCAGCUCGUGUCGUGAGAUGUUGGGUUAAGUCCCGCAACGAGCGCAACCCUUGUUCACUGUUGCCAGCACGUUAUGGUGGGGACUCAGUGGAGACCGCCGGGGUCAACUCGGAGGAAGGUGGGGAUGACGUCAAGUCCUCAUGCCCCUUAUGUCCAGGGCUUCACGCAUGCUACAAUGGCUGGUACAGAGAGUGGCGAGCCUGUGAGGGUGAGCGAAUCUCGGAAAGCCGGUCUCAGUUCGGAUUGGGGUCUGCAACUCGACCUCAUGAAGUCGGAGUCGCUAGUAAUCGCAGAUCAGCAACGCUGCGGUGAAUACGUUCCCGGG